GCCCAGCUCUCGUCGACCGAUACGCCGGCGAUCACGACACGGACUGCCACCGUCGUAUCCUGCAGAACAAACACAGAGAGUCGAACCGAGGCAACAGGGAUGAAAGGAUUUCUUCGGCUGUGUCGGGAAAGGGAGCAAGUGAACACCCGCUGGAAUCAGUUUGGGAACACACCGUAUGGGGACAGUGAAAAAGGAA